rnacentral:rRNA from 1 species
UACGUAGGGGGCAAGCGUUGGUCCGGAAUCAUUGGGCGUAAAGCGCACGUAGGCGGCCCGGUAAGUCCGUUGUGAAAGUCAGAGGCUCAACCUCUGGAGGCCAAUGGAUACUGCCGGGCUAGAGUCCGGAAGAGGCGAGUGGAAUUCCUGGUGUAGCGGUGGAAUGCGCAGAUAUCAGGAGGAACACCAAUGGCGAAGGCAGCUCGCUGGGACGGUACUGACGCUGAGGAGCGAAAGCGUGGGGAGCGAACAGG